CUGCUUUCUUCUGAAGCACCUUUGUACGAGAAAAUCUUCACAAAGCUCAGCACCAUCCUCCUGCUUUUACUACGUGCUUCCACAGUGCCCAGCACAUAGGGGGCACUCAUGAGUAUGAUCAACUAUUAGCCUUUAACAGAUUCUCCAAUAGGCUAUGAUUACACAGAACUGACACCUAGUUCUUUACGGUCCACAAUAGUUCUUAUAUCCAGAAAACUCACUUAUCCUAUCAGCCCUUACCCCAGAAGACCACUCAGCAAAGUCUUGGCUUGUAACCACAUAAGCAAAUAAGAUGAAUCAGUUUUCAGUCUUUCCUUGCUACUUGCAGGUGAGUAGUCCUACGCUUCCUUUGAGUCAAGGAUUAACAAUAGGUGGUGAUUUUAAGAAUUCUGCCUUCCCCGUGCCCACUACUUUAGAGGAGAACUUGCCAGCUCAUCACUCUUCAAGAUUUACUGUUUAAAACAUAGCUACCUUAUGACCCAGCGAUAGAGCUACUAGGAAUUUAUCCAAGGGAUACAGGAGUGCUGAUGCAUAGAGGCACUUGUGCUCCAAUGUUUAUAGCAGCCCUUUCAACAAUAGCCAAAUUAUGGAAAGAGCCCAAAUGUCCAUCAACUGAUGAAUAGAUAAAGAAGAUGUGGUUUAUAUAUACAAUGGAAUACUACUUGGCAAUGAGAAAGAAUGAAAUCCUGACAUUUGCAACAACGUGGAUGGACCUGGAAGGUAUUAUGCUAAGUAAAAUAAGUCAGAGAAAGAAAUCAUAUAUUUUCACUCCAUAUGUGGAACUUGAAAAACUUAACAGAAGACCAUGGGGGCAGAAAAGGGGAAAAAAUAGUUUCAAACAGAGAGGAGGCAAACCAUAAGAGACUCUUAAAUACAGAGGGAAAAACGAGGGUUGAUAGGGGGGCAGGGGAUAGGGGAAAUGGGUGAUGGGCAUUGAGGAGGGCACUUGUUGGGUUGAGUACUGGGUGUUUUAUGUAAGUGAUGAAUCACGGGAAUUUACCCCCCGAACCAAGAGCACACUGUAUACACUGUAUGUUAGCUAAUUUGACAAUAAAUUAUACACACACACACACACACACACAUACAUAUAUAUGUGUGUAUGUAUGUGUGUGUGUGUGUGUAUAUAUAUAUAUAUAAAAUAAAUAAAACAUAGGUUCCAUCAAGUUCUGAUGAUUAUAUAUGAAAUUAUUUCCUUCUUAGAUAUUUACUUUAGAAGUUUAGAUUUACCUGAUUAUUCAUUAACCAGACAAUUUAUCCUUUUUGAAAUUCUGAAAUUGUACCUAUGUAAGUUAAUGUACCUUGCUAUGCCUGAGGGUUACAUUUGGACCUGGAACACAUUACAGUUUUGAGCCACCCUCAUAACCCCCACCAGCCCAUAAGAAAUUUAAUCUGUUUGCAUUUCAUUUGAUUUUGAAAACUAAUGCAUGUCAUAUAGGUAUGACAUGGUCAGGCUUAUUGUCCCUGAAGGCCAUUAAAGAUGCACAGACAGGGGCGCCUGUGUGGCUCAGUCAGUUGAGGGUCCAACUCUUGGUUUCAACUCAGCUCAACAAUUCAUGGCUUCAUGGUUUGAAGCCCCCCAUUGGGUUCUGCACUGACAGUGUGAAGCCUGCUUGGGAUUCUCUCUCUACUUCUCUCUGCCCCUCCCCCACUUGUGCUGUCUCUGUCUCUCUCUUAAAAAAAAAACAACUUUAAAGACGCACAAGUUCUGCCUCUCUCAUAGACUUUGUGUCUAUGCUCCAUAUGGAUCAUCUCCUUUAUUUUUCCCACAGUCUCCAGACAGGUAGCCCACACAAGCAACUACAUGUGGGUUUACUGUCACAUCCUCCUGCCCUGCCUCCCUGAGGUUGUAUCAAAGCACCUUGACUAGACUUUUGGAGGUUCCCAAAACUCUCCAGUCAUAUAUUUCCUGAUAUUCUCUUGUUUACCAAGUCUAGGAUAAAAUUCAUAGACUAAGUAUUUUAUCACUAAUUUGUUGAUGUGUCCAUUUCUCAGUAGACAAACUGAAUUACCAUUUGUCAAUAAUUUGUUCCUAUUAGCUACUUAUAAAGUAUAUAUAUAUAUAUAUUUUUUUUUAAGUAUAUUUUAACUCAUGGUGCUGUGGUCAGCCACUGUUUGUUGAUGUAAAUAGUAGUUUCUUAUGUUUUGGAUUUCAGUUGUAAUACAUGUUACAAAUAUGAAGGAUUGAAUUAACAGCAAGAUGAGUAUAUUUCCUCUUUCUAUUCAUUCUAGGUUAUGAUCUUUAAAUUUUUUCCCCCAAUUUUACUGAGAUAAAAUUGACAAGGGCACCCGGGUGGCUUACUCUGCUGAGAGUCCAGCUUCAGCUCAGAUCGUGAUCUCACGGUUUAUGAAUUUGAGCCCCUAAUCAGGUUCUCUGCUGUCAGCAUAGAGCCGCUUCGGAUCUUCUGUCUCCCUUCCUCUUUCUCUGCUUUUCCCUACUCCUCUCAAAAAUAAAUAUUAAAAAAAAUUGACAUACAACACUAUAUAAGUUUAAAGUAUAUAGGCAUAAGGAUUUGACUUAAAAAUAUUGUGAAAUGGUUACCACAGUAAGUCUAGUUAACAUUUAUCAUCUCAGAUAGAUACCUAUAUACACACACACCUAUAGAUAUAUAUGUAUAUAUAUACACACCUUUAGAUAUAUAUGUGUAUAUAUAUAUACCUAUAGAUAUAUAUGUAUGUAUGUAUAUAGAAAUAUAUGUAUAUAUUUCUAUAUACAUACAUAUAUGUGUGUGUGUGUAUAUAUAUAUAUAUAUAUACAUAUAUAUAUAUGCAUAUGUGUGUAGAAAAAGAAAAAGAAAAGAGGUUUUCUAUUUUGUGAUGGGAAUUCUUAGAGUUCAUUCUCUUAAAGUUCAAAUACAGGGGUACCUGGGUGGCUCAGUCGGUUGGGCAUCUGACUUGGACUCAGAUAAUGAUCUCACAGCUUGUGGGUUCAAGCUCCACAUUGGGCACUGUGCUGACAGCUCAGAGCCUAGAGCCUGCUUCAGAUUCUGUCUGUCUGUCUCUCUCUCUCUCUCUUCCCCUCCCCUACUCCCCCCCUCAAAAAUAGACAUUAAAAUUAAAAAAAAAACGUUCAAAUAUAUCAUACAUAAUUGUUAACUAUAGUCAUAAUAUUAUACCUGACAUCCCCAAUACCUAUUUAUCUUAGAACUGGAAAUUGAUCUUUUGAUCAAUUUGAUCAAAAGAUGUUUUGACCACCUUCCGCCAAUUCCCUCUCCACCCACCCCCCUCCUCAGGUAAUCACAGAUCAGGUUUUUUCCCUCUAUAAGUUUGGUUUCAUUUGUUUAUUUGUUUUAGAUCCCACGUAUAGGUAAGAACAUACCAUAUUUUCUUUCUCUGUCUGAUUGAUUUCACUUAGCACAAUGAUCUCAUGUUGUCACAAAUGGCAGGAUUUCUUUCUUUUCUAUGGCUGAAUAAUAUUCCAACAUAUAUGUAUACCAAAACUUCUUUAUGCAUUUAUCCAUCAAUGGUCACUUAGGUUGUUUCUGUGCCUUGACUAUUAUAGGUAAUGCUGCAAUGAAUACGGGGCACAAACAUCUCUCCCACAUGGUGUGCUCUUUUGGAUAUGUUCCCAGAAGUGGAAUUGCUGGGUGAUAUGCAAAUGCAAUUUUUAAGUUUUUAAGGAACUUCCAUAUUAUUUUCUUUAGUGGAUGCACCAAUUUACAUUCCUACCAACAGUGCACAAGGGCUCCCUUUCCUCCAGCAUUUGUUAACCCUUGUCUAUUGGAUGAUAGCCAUUCUGACAGCAGUGAAGAGCUAUUUUAUUAUGGGUUUGAUUUGCAUUUCCCUUAUGAUUAAUGAUAUUGAACAUCUUGUCAUGCUCUUAUUGGCUGUGUGUCAUCUUUGAAAAAAAAAUGUCUAUUCAGGUUCUUGGUCCAUUUUGAUUUGGUUAUUUGGGAGGUUUUUUCAUGUUUUGUUGUUGCUUAAAUUUUUUUAAUGUUUUUAAAUUUAUUUUUGAGAGAGAGCGAGCACAAGUGGGGGAGGGGCAGAGAGGGAGGGAGACACAGAAUCAGAAGCAGGUUCCAGGCUCUGAGCUGUCAGCACAGAGCCCAAUGCAGGGCUCAAACUUAUAAAGUGUGAGAUCAUGACCUGAGUCAAAGUCAGACACUUAAUUGACUGAGCCACCCAGGUGCCCCUGUUGUUUUUGCUGUUGAUUUGCAUCAGUCCUUCAUAUAUUUUGGAUAUUAACCCCUUAUCAAAUAUAUAGUUUGCAAAUAUUUUUUUUCCUUUUCAUAGAUUGUCUUUUUUUGGUUUUGUUAAUCAUUUCUUUUGUUAUGCAGAAGCUUUUUAGUUUGAUAUAAUUCCACUUGUUUAUUUUUUUAUUUUGUUGCUUGUGCUUUAGGUGUUAGGUGUGUGUGUGUGUGUGUGUGUGUGUGUGUGUGUGUGUGUAUUUUUGACAGAGCGAAACAGAGUAUGAGCAGGGGAGAGGCAGAGAGAGAGGGAGACCCAGAAUCUGAAGUAGGAUUCAGGCUCUGAGCUGUCUGCACAGAGCUCGAUGUGGGCUUGAACCCACGAACCAUAAGAUCAUGACUUGAAUCAAAGUCAGGUGCUUAACCAGCUGAGCUACCCAGGUCCCCCUAGGUGUUAUAUUUAAAAAAUCAUUGCCAAAACCCAUGUCAGGAAGCCUUUUUCCUGUUUGCUUCUAGGAGUUUUAAGGUUUUUCAUCUUAUAUUUAGGUCUUUCAUCCAUUUUGAGUUAACUUUUGUGAGUAGUGUGAGGUAGGAGUCUAGUUUCAUUCUUUUACAUGUGAAUAUCCAAUGAUUCCAGGACCAUUUAUUGAAGACAGUAUCUUUUCUCCUUUGGCUCCUGUGUCAAAUAUUAUUUAUAUGAGUUUAUUUUUGGGCUCUUGAUUCCUUUUCAUUGGUCUGUAUGUCUGUUUUUAUGCCAGUAUCACACUGUUUUGAUAAUUAUAGCUUUCAUAUAUAGCUUGAAAUCAAGAAGGGUGAUGACUCCUGCUUUCUUCUUUCUCAGGAUUACUUUGACUAUUCGAGGUCUUUUAUGCUUUCUUAAAAUUUCAGAAUUUUUUUCUACUUCCAUAAAAGUGUCAUUGAAAUCUUGACAGGAAUUGUAUUGAAUAGAUGGCUUUGACAACUAUGGACAUUUUAACAAUAUUAAUUCUUCCAGUCCACGAACAUGGGCUUUAGAUACCGAUAGAACUCAAUCAUGAUUUCAGCUGAAGUAAGUGAAAUUAUUUUCUUUUCCAGAGACCAUUCUCAUUUAAAGCUCCUCUUAUUUCUACUAUCUAGAAUUUCUCUUACAUAUUUUUACAUAUGUAGCUCUGAAACAAUCCAGAUUUCAUGAUUAUUUUCUUUGUAAUAUGGUUUGAUAUUUCCUAAUUCCAUCACAGUGUCAAAGGCUCCAUGUGGGUAAUCACAUAACAUAUUCCUCUUCUGUAAAAUUAGAUGUCAGAUUAAGAAUUUAGCUUAAAGACAGUUAAAUUUGUUUAAAUAGGUAAGCCUGCCUGCCUUCCUACUUUCCUUCCUCCCUUCCUCCCUUCCUCCCUUUCUUCCUUCCUUCCUCCCUCCCUUCCUUCCUUUCUUCCUUAAUUCAGUGGCUUCUUAAAGUUGUUUCUUAAUAAUUUUGUACAUACCAAAAAUUUAUGAAUAAUAAAAAAUAGUUGUUUUCAAAUAAUUGUGUCAUACAGCUAUCUGGUUCUCUCUUUAAUAGUAAAAUGGAGAAAAAUCGAACAAUGGUUACAGAAUUCAUCCUACUGGGAUUUUGUCUUGGUCCAAGGAUUCACAUAAUCCUUUUUGGGCUCUUCUCCCUGUUCUAUGCCUUCACCCUGCUGGGGAACGGGCUCAUCCUGGGGCUCAUCUGGCUGGACUCCAGACUGCACACCCCCAUGUACUUCUUCCUCUCCCACCUGGCCAUCGUCGACAUAGCCUAUGCCUGCAACACGGUGCCCCGGAUGCUGGUAAACCUCCUGAAGCCAGACCAGUCCAUCUCCUUUGCUGGCUGCAUGACGCAGACCUUUCUUUUCUUGACUUUUGCUCUGACAGAAUGUCUUCU
rnacentral:lncRNA from 1 species